GACGUAGGAUGCGAGCGUUGUUCGGAAUUAUUGGGCGUAAAGCGUGCGUAGGCGGCUAUUUAAGUCUGGUGUUAAAGCUAGGGGCUCAACCCCUAUGUUGCACUGGAAACUGGGUAGCUUGAGUACGGUAAAAGAAGGUGGAAUUCCGAGUGUAACAGUGAAAUGCGUAGAUAUUCGGAAGAACACCGAUGGCGAAAGCGACCUUCUGGACCGUCACUGACGCUGAGGCACGAAAGCGUGGGGAGCAAACGGG
rnacentral:rRNA from 1 species